UAUAUAAUUGUAUUCUCAUUUAACAUCUUAUUGUCAAAAAAAAAAGAAAUAUUUCAAAACCCUAUGUUAUCAGUUUUCAAUGAGUAGCUCGGACAGAUUAAAAAGAAGAAAAUAUUUAUUGAAAUACUUUAGAAAUUCUUACGUACUCCUCCAGGUUUAUAACAUUCUAACUUUUUGAUGUUUAUGCAUACAAAUGUGAGUAAUUAUGAUUUGUCGCUUGUGUACAAGAGAGAUUGAAGAAUUUAUUAAUAUAUUCGACGUGACUGGCAGUAAAUCUAAAUCUAAUAUGGCAUCAAUAGUAGGAAAGCAUUUCUGGUUUGAGCCACUUCAAGAUGAUCCAAUAUCUACAGUUAUUUGCAAUAGAUGUUGGUUUAAAGUUUUCAUGAGAAAGUGUGGAAGAAGCUCAACGUCAGCUGAGCGAAACAUUUCUAGUGAAAAUAGAAAGUCAAACUAAGGCGAGACAACGACAUCACUUUUUAGAGGAUGAUCUGAUUUCCUCCAGUUCUUUGCCCAGCAAAAGAGAACCUGAUGAUGAGUUGAAUGAAAUUAACGAUGAGACGAAGGAACAUAUUGUGGAAAGGUAUGGCGGGGAAGA